rnacentral:lncRNA from 1 species
GAUUUGGUAGAAAAUGUGAUAAUCUCUCUCUGCUUUCAGCUGGAAAAUAACUCUGGAUUUUUCCAGAAGAUCUGUGAACAGAUGCCAACUUUCCUGUUGCCCCAAAAUGAAUUCGAAUGAAUUUCCCCUGGAGAGAUGGAAGAGAGUGGUGAUGAGUUGGGGGAAGGCUCAUAUCUGAGACCAUUCCUCCACCAGUCCAAGUCCCAAGGCCAAGGACCUUGGAGGGCAGCAGGCCUACCUUGCCCGGGCUCUGGUCCUUCUUGCUGCGGUCCCCAAUGGCUGCAAUAACAGCAAAGUACUGGAUGACCCUCUUGGUGUUGACUGUCUUCCCUGCUCCGGAUUCUCCGCUGUGAAGACAGGGGCUUAUUGGGCAGUGAACAAUACUACUGGAGACCAGCAAGCCUCAAAUCAGGAGAGAAUGCCUGGGCCUACCCGAGAGUAGGAGCCCUGGGCAAGAAGCUGCCAGGUUAUCUACACCCAAAAUCCACAACUGUCUUCUGAUGCACAGAGGUCAGGGCUGGCACCAGGAAGGAUGCCACCAGAAGGCACUGGUUUGGGCAGGCUGAGCCUGUGCUUGGCUGGGCAAAGUAAACAGGGGAGAUGGGCCUGGGCUGUUUUGGGAAAAGUUGGUAGGGCUGGAAGAAUGGGAAAUGUUUCUGAAGGGAAAGAAAAUGCAGAGGUGAAGACAUGGCGAUAAUGAGCUUCUGGAUAAACGCGUGAUGAGUUGGAGAGUGGGUGAAGGAGGUGGGAGAGGAAAAACAUGAAGGGGAUGGAAAGCAGAAAGGAAGAGGGAGAGCAAAGAGAGGGGUCAGGGUAAUGGUCAGAGAAGAAGGAGAUGGGCACGAGGUUGGGGGGAAAGAGGCUGAGUCUAUGCCUCGGGGCCUGGGACACCUGAUGGGGCUGGAGGCUGGGAUCAGGGAGAUUCUGAAAGGGAAUACAGUAGCAGCUACACUCACGUGAUCAGGAUGGACUGGUUUUCUCUGUCUGUGGGGAGAGGGUGGGGAGGAAAGGUCAGGAGCUGCACAGGAUGCUCUCGUGGGGCUUCUCCCUUCCUUCUCCCUCUCCCUCCCGGCCUAUCCCAGUUCCCUUCAGGAAGACCCUUCCAGGGCCUCUCACCUGUCAGCAUGUACUGAUAGGCGUUGUCG